rnacentral:lncRNA from 1 species
AGUCGUUCCCACGCUGUCUUCUCACCCGCCUAGAGCCUACCCGGCUCCUCGGGCUGUGCGGUUAGCCAGAGCCACCCCACACCCCAGGAACCCAGCUCGGAACUUGCAUUCCCUUGGCAGUCGCCCUCAGCCUCCAGCGGGAGGAUUCUUCCAGUGAUUGUCCUACUGAGGGUGGGCUGGCCCUGGGCCGGGCACCUCGACUGUCUCCUCCGAGCCCUGCGGUGCUGUCCUGACAGGCAGCAGCCCAACUGGAGAGGCAGGUACAAGCUGGGCCUCCACCCCAGAAUGCUUCUAUUUAAUUGACUUAAAGCGGACAGACAGGAAGAGCAGCUUUCUUGCCUGGAGCUACCCUCAGACACCAUGCCCUGCCCGGUAGUGUGACAGGCCUGAAGUCUGGACUUGCCUGGGGAGAAGGGCCUCACACACCCCCCUGUGGACCUCCUGCUGAGGCAGGUGCCUUUCCUGGAGUGGGAGCUGGCUUG